rnacentral:lncRNA from 1 species
GAAAAAAAAAAAAAUCUCUGAAAUGGAAGGCAAAGUUCAUCACUCCAGAACACCAGGUCUCUCUUGAUUGGGAGUGCCCAGAAGACUAGCAGGAGCCCCCCAGAGUCUGAUGGAUCAGCACAGAGAACUCGCACCUGUCAGAGCAGAGGGGUGUGAAUUGGAGGACUUGUUGAUUUGCCCUGAGCUAACUGCUGCCAAUCCUGCUCUUUUUGCUGAGGAAGGCUGGCCCUGAGCUAACAUCCAUGCCCAUCUUCCUCUACUUUAUAUGUGGGACGCCUACCACAGCAUGGCGUGCCAAAUGCUGCCAUGUCCGCACCCGGGAUCUGAACCGGCGAGCCCUGGGCCACCGAAGCGGAACAUGCGUACUUAACUGCUGCGCCACUGGGCCAGCCCCAAGGCCUGCAUUUAUUAAGCACUUACUAUGUGUCAGGUACUCUUCUAAGUGCCUUACAUAUAUUACAUCAUUCCUCACAACUUAUGAGGCAGGUACUAUUAUUAUCCUCAUUUUACAGAUGAUGAAACUGAGGCACAAAGGGAUUAAGUAACUUGUCUAAGGUAAAAUAACUAGUAAGUAGAGGAGCUGGGAUUCAAACUUAGACAGUCUGGCUUCAGGCCCAAACUGUUAACUACUGGAGAGCAUUUAGCAUCAGAUGACAAGUGAUUUUCAUGAAAGGAAGAUCUUGACCAUUGGACCAUCUGAUGCUUUCAAUGCCAGCAGUCUCCAAGGAUAGAGCAAUAACUGGUGUCCUUAAAGUUUGCAGCUUAGUAAGCAGCCUGUGGUCCAGCCCAACUCAUCAUCCUACUCCCUAAAUGCAUCCAUCGCAUCCCCUCCACUGUCUUCACCUUGUACCAUGCCCCUCUGCUCUCUUUCUCUGGAUGUAACCUCUUUCUUUUUCUUCUCUUUCUUUCUCUCCUAAUCCUCCAUUUGUCCAGCCUGCUGGGAUAACCCAUAGGCAUGGUUUGGCUCCUCUUUUGGCACUCAGAAUCAAAAAGGUUGCUGGUCCCUGAGCUACACCUUCCCAAUCCACCUUCCUUGGAAAUGAGAUCUUUCCCAAUCCAUAGGCUGAGCACAUGCAGCCUAGGAAGCAGUGAGAAGAAAAAAAGACCAAACAAUUCUGAAAAUGAAUUGCCCUGCCCUCCCCCCACAUCAGGGAAUAUCAGUUUCUCUGAUUGGUUUGUCUUGCCUUUAAAUCAAGUAAACAACACAAUGUGGAUAGCACGCUCUUCCUCCCAGCAACCAGUUUUAGUGUAAAGAAAAAAGAGCUGGGCUCAUCCCCACUUCUGCCACCAACAAUCUGUAUGAUUUUGAGCACAUCCUUUCCCAUCAGUUUCCCCAUCCAGCAAUGUAGAGAUUGGACUAUAUUGGGGAGUUCUCAAAUUAGGAUUCAUGGGUAGAUUCAGGGGGAU